rnacentral:rRNA from 1 species
GACGAACGCUGGCGGCGUGCUUAACACAUGCAAGUCGAACGGAAGGGCGCUGCUUUUGUGUGGUGCUUGAGUGGCGAACGGGUGAGUAACACGUGAGUAACCUCCACUUAUCAGUGGGGGAUCAUCAGGAAACUGCGGCUAUUAUCGGGUAGAAUCUCCUGAUGCGUGGUGGGCGAAGGUAAGUUCCGGCGGUUCGGGAUGUAAUCGCGGCUUAUGCGCUUCUUGGUGAGGUAGUUGCUUACAAAGGUUUUGAAGGGUAGCCGGCCUGAGAGGGUGACCGGCCACAUUGGGACUGCGGUACGGCCCAGACUCCUACGGGAGGCAGUAGUGGGGAAUAUUGCACAAUGGGGGGAAGCCUGUUGCAGCAACCCUGCGUGCGGGAUGCCGUCUUUCGGGUUGUAAACCUAUUUCGCCUGUGAUGAAGCGAGCUUGACGGUAAUGAGUAAGAAAGCACCGGCUAACUACGUG